AUUGAACGCUGGCGGCAGGCCUAACACAUGCAAGUCGAGCGGAGCGGCGGACGGGUGAGUAAUGCCUCGGAAUCUGCCUGGUAGUGGGGGAUAACGUCCGGAAACGGGCGCUAAUACCGCAUACUAUAAGCUAGGCCUAGGUCGGCUUAGGUAGUUGGUGGGGUAAAUGCCUACCAAGUCGACGAUCCGUAACUGGUCUGAGAGGAUGAUCAGGCACACUGUAACUGAUGCACGGUCCAGACUCCUACGGGAGGCAGCAGUGGGGAAUAUUGGACAAGGGGCGAAAGCCUGAUCCAGCCAUGCCGCGUGUGUGAAGAAGGUCUUCGGAUUGUAAAGCACUUUAAGUUGGGAGGCGUUACCCGCAGAAGAAGCACCGGCUAACUCCGUGCCAGCAGCCGCGGUAAUUC
rnacentral:rRNA from 1 species